rnacentral:rRNA from 1 species
UACGGGGGGGGGCAAGCGUUGUUCGGAAUUACUGGGCGUAAAGGGCGCGUAGGCGGACCUGCAAGUCGGGGGUGAAAGCCCGAGGCUCAACCUCGGAACUGCCUUCGAUACUGCGGGUCUCGAGUCCGGGAGAGGUGAGUGGAAUUCCUAGUGUAGAGGUGAAAUUCGUAGAUAUUAGGAAGAACACCAGUGGCGAAGGCGGCUCACUGGCCCGGUACUGACGCUGAGGCGCGAAAGCGUGGGGAGCAAACAGG